CAGCAGCCACGGGAACACGGAGGGAGCUAGCGUUGUUCGGAAUCACUGGGCGUAAAGCGCACGUAGGCGGCUAUUCAAGUCAGGGGUGAAAGCCCGGGGCUCAACCCCGGAACUGCCUUUGAAACUAGAUAGCUUGAAUCUUGGAGAGGCGAGUGGAAUUCCGAGUGUAGAGGUGAAAUUCGUAGAUAUUCGGAAGAACACCAGUGGCGAAGGCGACUCGCUGGACAAGUAUUGACGCUGAGGUGCGAAAGCGUGGGGAGCAAACAGGAUUAGAUACCCCGGUAGUCCCUGUCUCUUAUAU
rnacentral:rRNA from 1 species